rnacentral:lncRNA from 1 species
AACUAUUCAUAAGUUGGACUUGCUACUUAUACUACUCCUCAUGUGUCAUGAACCAAGCCCAAUUGGCUUAGGCCCAUGCCUCUCACGCCCAUAAGCCCAAAACAAUGGUUCUCGCGUCUAAUAACUUACGUUCGGCUAAAUAAUUAUUCGUCGCUCACUAAAAUAAUAAAAGCCAAUUAAUAAAUAAAAUAACAUUUAAUAAAAUAUACGAAUACGAAAAAUGGGUCGUUACACCUUCCACUAAUAAAAUCCAACUGAAGGUAUAACAAUUUAUGUAUAGGCUGAGAUGUUUUUCCUAUAUACCACCCAAACUCUUUAUAUACCAUUAAAAUUAUAUCAAAAGACUAGUCAUGCUUAUACUAUAAUUCUAUCUUGGUAGAAAUUAAAGUUUCAUCCAAAACUAAAAUAAAGAUUCUUCUUCUAAGAAGUUCAUAGGAUUAAUAUAUACCUACUAUAUAUUCUCCACUAUUCCAAAGUGAACCACUCAACUUAAACCACAACACCAUUUCGAUAUUAAAACCUCCACUUAUAUUGUUUUACUCUCCUCAAAACUUAUUAUUUACUAUAUCAUUAUUUGAAGCUCAACUAUUCAUACUUACUUAGAUAUCUUCUCUUAACCAUACUAUCCAAUAGAAAUUCUUUUGUCAACUAUAGUUCUUACAACUAACCCUAAAUCUACUCACUUUUUCUUUUCUAAAAAAAAAUAAAAUCUACUCUUUUUUUUUUUUUUU